rnacentral:rRNA from 1 species
CGAGUUUGAUCCUGGCUCAGGAUGAACGCUGGCGGCGUGCUUAACACAUGCAAGUCGAACGUGAGAAUAGCAAUAUUUGAAAGUGGCAAACGGGUGAGUAACACGUGGGAACCUGCCUCGAAGUGGGGGAUAACGAUUGGAAACGGUCGCUAAUACCGCACGGUUCUGCUCUGAUGGGAAUGGAGCAGAUAAAGAUUUAUCGCUUUGAGAGGGGCCCGCGGCCGAUUAGCUAGUUGGUAAGGUAAAGGCUUACCAAGGCGAUUAUCGGUAGCUGGUCUGAGAGGACGAUCAGCCACACGGGAACUGAGACACGGUCCCGACUCCUACGGGGGGCAGCAGUGAGGAAUAUUGGGCAAUGGGCGAAAGCCUGACCCAGCAACGCCGCGUGGAGGAUGAAGGCUUUAGGGUUGUAAACUCCUUUUGUGGGGGAAAAGAAUGGAUGGUACCCCAAGAAUAAGUCACGGCUAACUACGUG